UUAAACGUCAACUCAAUCUACCUGGUUUACUUCAGAUUCUAAGUUUAUUAUUUUUUCUUUUUCUUUCUGUAUCCCCGUUUACUGUACCUAACAUGAAAACCUUAAUAAAAAAAAAAAAAUUGAAUCUGAAGUAAACCAGGUAGAUUGAGUUGACGUUUAA
rnacentral:miRNA from 1 species